GAUUCGAUUCUGUAGACCUGAACUCCAGCUGGAACUUGGCAACUUUAUAUGUGAGUUUUUUUUCUCUAGCUCAUAUAUAUCAAAUUAUCAAUAUAGUUAUGUGAAGUGCAAUGUUGUAUCAAAGGAUUGUCGUUAAUUUAAACAUUGCAUAAACAGCAUUCAGAUACGAAAAAUAUGAACAUCAACAUUCAACAUGGACUGAUGGACAUGGAGCCACAGUACUCUAAAGUUCUCAUAUAGACUUUAUUUAACUUAUAUGUUGACCCAAUGGUGAGGGAUUGGUCAAAUUAUACUUUAUAGUGAUUCCCCUAGAUUAGUGCAUUGGUUAUUGUGCAAUGACAACCUUUUUUGGCUCUCAAAGGUCAAUAAUUUCUCAAACAUGCCAAGUCUGUACAUGUUUAAUAAUCUUUUAUUUUGCUUUUCUAGAUUGCCAAUCAUUCCUGUUGAACUACAUUGUUCAUUACAAUGAAUCAGAUGCAGAUCUUACAACUAUGUUAAUUUGUUCACCUGAUUGGGGAAAACCUGAGACUAUUUGAUCUUAUAUUGGAAAGCCUACCAAUUUUACAUAGCCUCAGGCAAUGUUUAUAUAAUUAAUCUUAAGUAAUAGAGAUGCUGUACCCCCUGACGGAGUGACUUUACUACCUGGAUCAUCCCACUAGGCAAGACAAGUUCAAAACUUUCCAUGCAAACACUUGCAUGGCAGUUGCUAUAAUAGGAUAUGAAUAUAGUUUUGCCUUGCCA